GUCAGCUUCGGCAGCACAUACACUAAAAUUGGAACGAUACAGAGGAGGCUGGCAUGGCUCCUGUGCAAGGAUGACACGCAAAUUCACGGGGAGUUCCAUAUUUUU